rnacentral:rRNA from 1 species
UACAGAGGGUGCGAGCGUUGUCCGGAAUCACUGGGCGUAAAGGGCGCGUAGGUGGCGGCCCAAGUCCAUGGUGAAAGCUCGAUGCUCAACAUCGAGUCGGCCACGGAUACUGGGUUGCUCGAGCACUGUAGGGGCAGAUGGAAUUCCGGGUGUAGCGGUGGAAUGCGUAGAGAUCCGGAAGAACGACCGGUGGCGAAGGCGGUCUGCUGGGCAGUUGCUGACACUGAGGCGCGACAGCGUGGGGAGCAAACAGGG